rnacentral:rRNA from 1 species
UACGUAGGGGGCAAGCGUUAUCCGGAUUUAUUGGGUUUAAAGGGUGCGUAGGCGGACGCUUAAGUCAGCGGUAAAAUUGCGGGGCUCAACCUCGUCGAGCCGUUGAAACUGGGUGCCUUGAGUGGGCGAGAAGUAUGCGGAAUGCGUGGUGUAGCGGUGAAAUGCAUAGAUAUCACGCAGAACCCCGAUUGCGAAGGCAGCCUGCCGCAGCGUUACUGACGCUGAAGCUCGAAAGCGCGGGUAUCGAACAGG